rnacentral:lncRNA from 1 species
UUGUACGAUUUCCCGGUAGUCUAUUCUUGUUGUGUUACCCGCAUUUCAGUAUCUGCAAACCUGUGAUAUGUGGACUGCUUACAUGCUUUGCAUAUCCAGCUUAUUGUUGUAAACAUAACUUUCAAUACAACUCGAGUAACUGCAUGGGUCAAGGUUGGGGAAGAUUUGCGUAAAUUUCCCAUGAUAUAUUCUAGAUCGGCACUUGGAAAUCACUGAUCAGCAUCCGCUUCGUUUACUAACUCAACAAGCCACGCACACCAAGCUGAUCCUAGCCCUACAUGAUUUUUUUCUUUUGCGGGAAUGAUUUUCAUUGCCUCGACCAAUACAAACUAUGUAGCUCCCCUGUUUAGAUGUUUACGAAUAGUAAGUACAAAAUUCGCAAAUGCUAGUACAAGGUAGAUACGGAUCCAGGAUUCCAGGGAUUUAACAAGGGCAUGGCACCAGGGAACCUCAUUUCUUUGAUGCAAAAGUCACUGGGAGACGAAGGAGAUCCAUGGAUACAGUGCUGAUGCUAUUGGAUCAUCAGUAGGGCUUGAGGUAGUCAAAGAGAUGGUCACGGAAGGAAGAAGCCGUCUCCGUGCUCGCCGCCAGCGACCCGACGGCAGACGGCGACGACGAGGCCGUUGGUUCGCCGCCUCUCGGGCUCUCCUGGCACGUGCCUGCAGCUGGCGGCGGCAGAUUUCCCUUCCCUGUCUGUAUGUGCAGCGCCGUCGUCUGCGGCGGCCGCCGCCGCCUCUGCUGCUCCCUCCGCUUGCUCACGUACUCCUCGUGGAUGAACGCUUCCAUCCCCUUGCAACUAGAGGUCGCUGCAAAUCCCCGGGAAGAAUGUAGUAAGAUCUAGCUAGGAGGAGAAGAGAGGAGAUGAAGUGAUUGCCUGAUUGGUGAAGAGAAGCAGAAUGCCUGUGUCUUUGUAGGCGAUCUGGUCGACUGGUCAAUUAUUGCCGUGUUUUGACACUUGUACAAGCGAUGCCGGAUUAGGCCGCACUAGUGCCUGGGAGCAGAGUUAGGAGUAUAAAACUGACUACUGAUGUAAACAUGGACUUGUUGUUUGUCCGGAAUCGGAUACUACUCCUUCUUUCCUCCUGCUGCUGCUCCCCUCUCUCUCUCUAACUCGAUCUUAUCCGAUGCUGUUGAUUUGCUGCUCUGGUCCCUAUCUCUUACCUGAAUUACGACCUUAAGUAAUGCUUAC